UGACUGUCGGUUAAUUGACUGAUCACUUCCUGACAUUGACCUGCUGAUGGUUUAAAGAGGGAUACACUACCACUGGUCCACUCCACCUUUCCAGUCUCUUCUCCUAAUAAUAAACACAGUGAUGCUGGUUUUUGUACCAGAAGUCAUUACAGCUGCUAGGAUGGAAUGGGUGUGGUCUAUCUUUUAUCAUGUGACAGGAAACAAAAAUCAAUUGGUGAAGGUCACUGUAGUACUUAUAAACUGGUUCAACCACAUGCAGUUAAGUGUGGACACAAUUGAGCUGGUUUCUGAACCAUUUCAAGUUGAACUGGCUUGUAUGUAUAGAUGUGACUUAAUUUUUGUGAUUUUUUGGUAAAUUUCAAAUAUGCAGUUUUUGUGAUUUUUGAUAUUGUA